AAUAACUGUACCCUUGGUGCUGCCAGAAAGCUCAGUCUGCGAUUGAUUGCUGUAGUUCUCUCCCAGAGCACAGUUGAGUUGAUUGCUUUUUUGAGAAAGCCUCUAAGGGAUUUGCUGUCUGUGUGCCUAUUGGGCUGUCUGUGCCCCUGGCUGGAGCAGAAACUGAGGAAGGAAGAUCCUACGGCUCAUCAAGUAAAACGGUCUUUUGGGGAAGAAGCAUUCUUAGAAAUGCUGCACCAAGAGUUGGAAUUGAGAAUUCAGAAAACAUGAUAGAGAAGGAACAGGAAGAAACCAUUUGGACAUCCAAAAAUAAAAGGCCAGAGACAGAAUCUCACUUUGUUGCCCAGGCUGGUGGUCUCUAACUCCUGGACUUAAGCAAUCCUCCCGCCUCAGCCUCCCAAAGUGCUGGGAUCACAGGUCUGAUUAUAAAAGGAGAAUUGGAGGCUUACCAAACAUCUGAAGAGCUUUCCAGAAGUUUGGUCACUUCUGAAUUAGAGAAGUUAAAACCCAAUCACCUACUAAUGCUGUGGGAAAGUUCUGCAGGUGAUACAUCACAGGGGCUCAUGAAUGUGUCUUAAGCUGGGUCAUUGAAGUGGAAUGUUUUCACAAGACCUCCUCCACUUGCUACUGUGUCCGGAAUUGGUGGGUUCUUGGUCUCACUGACUUCAAGAAUGAAGCCGCGGACCCUCGCGGGAGUGGCAAAUCAAAGGCAUUGCAGCCUCUUUCAUCACUGCCGAUUGCUGAUGCCAACCAUGUGCCAAGUGCUUAAUACGUCACCUUAAAUCUUCUCAUCCACCCUCAGAGACAUUCUUAUUCAAAAGAAAGAACACCGAAAUUGACCUUACCCUGACAAUAUGAUGGCUGAAGGAUUUAUGAUCACUUAUAACAUUUGAAAUUGAGGCGGAACCUGAAGAAUAAGACUCUGGUGAAAGGUCCUAUUUAUGCUUUUGAUGUCUUUCACUUGGACAUUUACCACAUGCCUAUUGGUAGGUUUGUUACAUAGGUCAGUUAAGGUGAUACAAGAAUAAAUAAAACACUAUCCCUAUCCUUUAAUAUCAUUUAUUUAUGGGGUCAAUCACAGAUUUUCAUUUUUCAAAAUCUUUGAUAAAUGUCAGAAUUAUGUUUUUUAAUAUUUUUACAGAAUUAUUACAAUAUAUGGUAGAGGAUGGAAGGCAAGGUAGUAUGAAACGGAAAAGAUAUUUUGAAUUAAGGUAUUUGGACCUGGAUUAAUAUUUUUGCUUUGGUCUUUAUUAGCUGAGUGACCUUGAGAAAGUUCUUCUACUAAAAAAGAACAAAGAUAAUAAUUACUUCAUGAAAUUGCUGUAAAAAACACAUAACAAGUAUAUCCAGACUCAACAGUGUAUGCUCAAAAAUGCAGAUCCUUUUUCCCUUACCUGCAAAUAAAGUCUUACAGUAAUACAGUGGGGGUAAAGGUUUAAACUGGUGGAUUCAAGAAGGGCUAUAGAAAGAGGUAGCAUCUUAAUAGGGGAAGGAGAGGAUCCAAGAAAUCAGAUCCAUUUUCUACAAAAAGAAAUGGGAAGACAGAUAAUUCAAGAAGAAAAGUUUACAUGAUUAAAGACCCGAAGUUAGAAAUAGUGAUGUGUCUCAAUAGUAAGUUAGGAAUUGGGGUGGACACAAUUGUUGGAAGAAGGAUGGUUUCAGCAAAGGCCCAAGUUAGGUGACAAUUUCAAGUGUUUGUGAAGAUAUAUGAACAAAAUUAUAAAGUAGUUAGGGUAUAAGAAAUAGGGAGGAGGGAAUGAAUUAACAUUUAUGGAGUGUCUUGCAUGUUCCAAGCACUGUACUACUUGCCUUAUAAACCUUUCUUCAAUAAACGCCUACAACAAUCCUGAGAUGUGGAAUUAUUAGUUCCUCAAUGGACCCAGAGAGUUUCAAUUAUGUGCUUAAGAACACAGAGUUAGUAAAGGACAGAGACAGAAUUCAAAUUAAGCCUAUGUUACUCCACAUCCUAUGCAUUCACUAAACCUCUCAAGAAAACCAAUUUAUUGGACCUUUUAAUCAUUUAAGAAUGAGAUGAUAGGGGGCGGUUCCAAGAUGGCCAAAUAGGAACAGCUCCAGUCUACAGCU
rnacentral:lncRNA from 1 species